UACGGGGGGAGCAAACGUUGUUCGGAAUCACUGGGCGUAAAGGGCGCGUAGGCGGCUGAAUAAGUGGGAUGUUAAAUCCCCGGGCUCAACCCGGGACCUGCAUCUCAUACUGUUCAGCUCGAGCACAUCAGAGGAGACUGGAAUUCUCGGUGUAGCGGUGAAAUGCGUAGAUAUCGAGAGGAACACCUGCGGCGAAGGCGGGUUGCUGGGCUGACACUGACGCUGAAACGCGAAAGCUAGGGGAGCGAACGGG
rnacentral:rRNA from 1 species